CGUGCAUUGGUGGGGUCCCUUGGCCUGGCCUGUGACCUCUCCAAUCCAGGACCCCUCAAGGGAUGUUGGACUGCCAGUUUUGGCCUGAUCCUUGCAGGCCAGGCUAAGGGACCCCACCAAUGCACA
rfam:Myotis davidii contig221257, whole genome shotgun sequence.